rnacentral:rRNA from 1 species
UACGGAGGGUGCAAACGUUGCUCGGAAUCAUUGGGCGUAAAGCGCGUGUAGGCGGUUUGUUAAGUCAGGUGUGAAAGCCCUGGGCUCAACCCAGGAAGUGCGCCUGAUACUGGCAAGCUAGAGUACGGGAGAGGAUAGCGGAAUUCCCGGUGUAGAGGUGAAAUUCGUAGAUAUCGGGAGGAACACCAGUGGCGAAGGCGGCUAUCUGGACCGAUACUGACGCUGAGACGCGAAAGCGUGGGUAGCAAACAGG